CUCCUGCUCAUAAGUGACGUUUCUCUAAUUAUCGCAUCAUCCAGACAUCGUAAUCUGCCCUCGCAGGUAUGAAAGGCCCAUUAAUAACUCUCCAGGGAAGGGAGGCAGCGUCCCAGAUGCAGCCCUGCCGCAUGAUCUGCCCUCUGAUACAGAGUUCCCACAAUCAGCACUAACAUGCCCUCUGAUGUGUCACAGCACUCAUUGUUUCUCAGCCUCUCGCAAUAUACAACCAAAAAGCAAACCCCCUUAUCAUUUAAUAACACUCUCUGAUACUGAGAGCUGGAGAAGAUGGACACGCUCCAAGGGGGUGGAGAAAGCCGGUCAUGUGAGGAAGCUAUUAGGGCUGCGUACAGGCUCUCACACAGCUGGGAGUUCGGACAGAGCUCAGUCUCCACUUUCCUCGAACUCCAGCUGAAAAGAAGUCUUUCCUUUACCCAGGGCAAUCUAAGAACCCAGAGGCUUGUAUUUUAUGCCCAACUUUCUCAGUAACCCACUCUGUGGCCUAAGAACUGUUUGGAUGCUUCGAGCAAUUUCCUGUCUGUGAAAUAUAAAUGGAUGUUCUGAAGGGGAGGCCUGCACAAUUACCAAACAAAACAAGAGGAAUGGUCAUAGAACAGAAAAAAAUUGGUCAAAAGGAACAGAAAAUGAGGGUGAAGAUGUUACUCUUUUUUGCCUCAUUUUGGUACCGAAAACCAAUGGGAGAGGUUUGUGGUGGUGGUCACAGUAGAACUCCCACCUACUGAGAAGGCCUUGAUUAAGAAUAGGAGGGAUUCAUAUGGAGACUUGGGAGGAAAAAAGUACAGAGAUGGAAAUAAAAGUUCCGUGGGGAUUUGCCAGUUUGUUGAUAAAUUAAUUAAAUGCAUAUGAUAUCACAUUUUCACAAAGUUCUGCUGAACUCAGGGUCUGACUGCUUGUACCCCUGAGGACUCCCCUACCAGAAUAA